GAUGAACGCUAGCGGCAGGCCUAACACAUGCAAGUCGAGGGGUAACAUAGGAAAGCUUGCUUUUCUGAUGACGACCGGCGCACGGGUGCGUAACGCGUAUACAACCUACCUUUUAGCGGGGAAUAGCCUAGGGAAACUUGGAUUAAUGCCCCAUAGUAUAUAGACUUCUCCUGAAGUUUAUAUUAAACAUUUAUGGCUAUUAGAUGGGUAUGCGUCCUAUUAGUUAGUUGGUAAGGUAACGGCUUACCAAGGCAGCGAUAGGUAGGGGUCCUGAGAGGGAGAUCCCCACACUGGUACUGAGACACGGACCAGACUCCUACGGGAGGCAGCAGUGAGGAAUAUUGGACAAUGGGCGAGAGCCUGAUCCAGCCAUGCCGCGUGCAGGAAGACUGCCCUAUGGGUUGUAAACUGCUUUUACAGAGGAAGAACCACCCCCACGUGUGGGGGUUUGACGGUACUCUGCGAAUAAGGAUCGGCUAACUCCGUG
rnacentral:rRNA from 1 species